AUAAACUUUGCACUGAGACAGGAUAUCAAAUAUCUUUUAUAGAUACGUGGAUAUAAACAAAAUAUACGUACCGAUACAAUAUAUAAGAUUCUAAUACGAAUAAUUGUCUUCCAUAUUAAAUUCGUCAAAAUGUGAAUUGAUUAGUGAUAUGUUCUAUGAUCGUGACAUAUUUCUUCGAAAAAUGUUUAAUCACUCGAUAGAAUAAUUCGUUCGAUACAGCUAUAAUCUUUUAACGCUUUUGGGAUUUACCUUGAUGUAUCUAUAAAUAUGGACGACGAAGAAUAUCUUCAACCUGUUUUAACUUCUCAAGAAGAAGAUAACUUUCAAAAAUUGGAUACCUUACCCAUCGUGGCGAUAUCAUUACUCUAUGGUGUAGCAUUAGAAAUAGUCGGAAUUAUAUUCAUCUCGGUAUGGCCCCAAGAAGAAAACAAAUGUGAUACUUAUUUCAUAUACUUAUACCUUCACUGUUUAUAUUGGUUAAUAGUUAUGAUCACUGAUUAUGUUGUAAAAGCCAAACAUCAUACAUUAAGAAUUUGGGGAUAUCUUGAUUUUUAUCAAUCAACUUAUCAACAUAUAAGAACACCUCUUUUUAUAACAUCACUAUGGAAUACAUGCUAUUUGUUGUUAGCUGUAAUUUUACAUCAUACUCAUAAAAUGAAUUAUGAACAAUACUGCAGGGCAUCGGAAUGGUUAACACCUAUUAAUUAUAUUAUAUUCUUAACUACCAUAGAAUUUAUGGUAAUCGUUCCAGUUUAUGUGAAUUAUAUUAAAAGAGUUAUAAGAUUCAAUAGGUUACGCCCUUUACCAGAUGUUAAAAGAGAGGAAUGGUUAUCAUCUUUUACUCAAGAUUCUUAUGCAAGCAGUGGUGAAAUUGGAUACCAUCAUAGAGGCUCAAAUUUAGAAGAAUUACUUGAAAAACAAGCUGACUUAAUAAGAUAUUUACGAGACCAUAAUGUUCAAUUGAGUCAUAGAAUAAUGAUAUUAGCAUCUCGCCAAAGAGUUGAUUGAUAGUCACCAUUGAAAUCAAAAUGAAAUAAUUAGAAAUUUAAAACAUAGCUUUGUUGUUUUGCGUGGAUUUGUUAAUAUACAUAACUCUCUAGCUAUAAAAUAAUUAUACUGCAAUACUGUGAUAGAAAGUGAUGUAUGCGUUGUUCAAACAAAUAAAAUAUAAGUAUAUUUUGAAAUAUA